rnacentral:misc_RNA from 2 species
CCCAACUAUCCCUAUUAAUCAUUACGUCGAACCUAUUUCGUUAUUCCAUGCUAAUGUAUUCAAGCGCGAGCCUGCUUUAAGCACUCUAAUUUUUUCAAAGUAACAGUCCUGUUUCCCCGCAACAACAAAUUAAUGCCAUCACGGUUCUACAAGAAGGAGGGACCAGUGAGGCCAGUGCAUACCAGUGGCACGACCAACCUACUGGCCCCGAAAUUCAACUACGAGCUUUUUAACUGCAACAACUUUAAUAUACGCUAUUGGAGCUGGAAUUACCGCGGCUGCUGGCACCAGACUUGCCCUCCAA